GGCUGGCCCGAUGGCAGUGGGUUAUCAGAACUUAUUAACAUUAGUGUCACUAAAGUUGGUAUACCACCCCCCCCACUGCUAAAUUUGACUGGCUUUAA
ensembl:misc_RNA Y_RNA Y RNA